AAGAACAACCAAAAAGGAAGAAAGAAAAGAGAGAAGAAUAGCUCACUCCUUUCU
rnacentral:ribozyme from 13 species